rnacentral:rRNA from 1 species
GAGAGGGAGCCUGAGAAACGGCUACCACAUCCAAGGAUGGCAGCAGGCGCGCAAAUUACCCAAUCCCGACACGGGGAGGUAGUGACAAUAAAUAACAAUACGGGGUUCUUUAGGAUCUCGUAAUUGGAAUGAGUACAAUUUAAAUCUCUUAACGAGGAACAAUUGGAGGGCAAGUCUGGUGCCAGCAGCCGCGGUAAUUCCAGCUCCAAUAGCGUAUAUUAAAGUUGUUGCAGUUAAAAAGCUCGUAGUUGAAUUUCGGGGUUAGUAGGUUGGUCAUGCCUCUGGUAUGUACUGGUCUCACUGAUUCCUCCUUCCUUAUGAACCGUAAUGCCAUUAAUUUGGUGUUGCGGGGAAUUUGGACUGUUACUUUGAAAAAAUUAGAGUGUUUAAAGCAAGCUAACGCUUGAAUACAUUAGCAUGGAAUAAUGAAAUAGGACGUUCGAUCUUAUUUUGUUGGUUUCUAGGAUUGACGUAAUGAUUAAUAGGGAUAGUUGGGGGCAUUAGUAUUCAAUUGUCAGAGGUGAAAUUCUUGGAUUUAUUGAAGACUAACUACUGCGAAAGCAUUUGCCAAGGAUGUUUUCAUUAAUCAAGAACGAAAGUUAGGGGAUCGAAGACGAUCAGAUACCGUCGUAGUCUUAACCAUAAACUAUGCCGACUAGGGAUCGGAUGAUGUUAAUUUUUUAAUGACUCAUUCGGCGCCUUACGGGAAACCA